UAAAAUUGAUUUCAUAUUCUUAAUCCAGCACUGCAUCUAUAUAUGUAUUACAGGUAAACCAAGAUAAUGUGCCAGCAUUAGACAUUAUAUUUAUAUAAGAAACACAACAUAAUCCAUCAUUGUCUUUAUUUUUAACAAACCUGGAACUAAUAAAAAGAACAUACUGAUGUUAAAUAUAGAAUCAGUAAAACAAUAGUAAAGUGGCUGAGCUGUAACUAAUACAUUUAUUAUCAUGUUCAGUAUUCAGCAUAAAGUUAUCGUGAGAUGAUAAAACACCUUUAACAUUUCUCUUUUUAUGUGUUGGUACACAUAGCAGACGAGCCGGCAGAACUUUCACUUAUUACACAACUCAGAGCCCCAGUGAUCUACAACAGGAUGUCACAUAUUCUGAUGUCACAAUACUGAAAUCAGGCAAGGCUAACAGAAGCACCUCAACAUCAGGUGACAUUGAAUAUGCUGCGGUUUCCUUCAGCGGUUGGUCAGAAUCAGCGUCACUGCGAGCCUCAGCCAAUCAGAUGGCUUUGGGUUCCUACACAGCAGAGCAGGAAACUGUGUAUGCACAGGUGAAGAAAGACUGAUCUUGAGUACAAAUGUCAAAACUUAUUGUCCUAUUAAGAUAAAAAAAAAAGCACAAAUGCUUG